rnacentral:rRNA from 1 species
AUCGAACGCUGGCGGCAGGCCUAACACAUGCAAGUCGAACGAGUGGCGGACGGGUGAGCAAUGUCUGGGAAACUGCCUGACGGAGGGGGAUAACUACUGGAAACGGUAGCUAAUAGCGCAUACCAUCAGAUGUGCCCAGAUGGGAGUAGCUUGCUGGUGGGGUAACGGCUCACCAAGGCGACGAUCCUUAGCUGGUCUGAGAGGAUGACCAGCCACACUGGGACUGAGACACGGUCCAGACUCCUACGGGAGGCAGCAGUGGGGAAUAUUGCACAAUGGGCGCAAGCCUGAUGCAGCCAUGCCGCGUGUAUGAAGAAGGCCUUCGGGUUGUAAAGUACUUUCAGCGGAGAGGCGUUACCCACAGAAGAAGCACCGGCUAACUCCGUGCCAGCAGCCGCGGUAAUAC